AUGGCGGCAGCUCGAGACGACGACAUCGACGGCGGCGGCGGGUGCGAUCCGCGUAAGUGUCUCGGGGACGCCUGGCCGGCCAUCCUCGGCGCCCUGACGGCGCUGGUGAUCAUAACGCCCAUCCUUCACUGGUUGUACGCGGGCUCCGAGGACUCGGCCAAGAUCCCGGAGUACACCGUCGCCGUCGCCGCCUUCUCGGGCCUCGACCCCGACGUCGACCUCGCGCGCGCCACGCUCGACCCCGCCUUCGACCUCACCUUCCGCAUCAUGGAGCCGCGCAAGUACAGCGCCGAGUGCGUGGACCGCGGCACCACGGCGUCAGUCUCCUACCGCCGCGUCGUGCUAGCGAGCGGGCCCGUGCCAGAGUUCUGCGCGAGGAAGGAGAACGUCACGGAGGUGGGGUCCGUGAUGGCGUGGGGCAACGCCGUGCCCGUGCCGCGGUUCGCGCGGGAGCGGCUCGCCGAGGAGCUCCGGCGAGGGAACGCCACGGUGGACGUGGCCCUGCUGGGGCCGGCGGCGCCGAGGCAACUGCAGAAGGUGGUCGAGUGCACGGCCGUCUUGGGCCGCGGCGAGGCCUCGCCGACGUGCAAGGUCACGUCCCAGUAUCCGAUCUCGCCCGAGCCCGAGUACCCGCUCGGGCCACGGCCGGCGAGGAAGCUUCUUGAGUCAUGGAACGACUAUAGAUCACUACUCCUAGUUAGCUAG
rnacentral:rRNA from 1 species